rnacentral:rRNA from 1 species
UGGGGAAUCUUCCGCAAUGGACGAAAGUCUGACGGAGCGACGCCGCAUGAGUGAAGAAGGCCUUCGGGUCGUAAAGCUCUGUCAUCAGGGACGAACGGCCGGUGGAGUGGAAAGCCACCGGAUUGACGGUACCUGAGAAGGAAGCCACGGCUAACUACGUGCCAGCAGCCGCGGUAAUACGUAGGUGGCAAGCGUUGUCCGGAAUUAUUGGGCGUAAAGCGCGCGCAGGUGGGAUCUUAAGUCCAUUUUGAAAGUUCGGAGCUCAACUCCGUGAUGGGAUGGAAACUGGGAUUCUUGAGUACCGGAGAGGAAAGCGGAAUUCCCCGUGUAGCGGUGAAAUGCGUAGAUAUGGGGAGGAACACCAGUGGCGAAGGCGGCUUUCUGGACGGUGUCUGACACUGAGGCGCGAAAGCCAGGGGAGCGAACG